UCUCGCUCCCUUUUUUUUUCUUGCCUUCUCCUUCUUCACUGAAGCCUAGGGGAGCCAGUAAAGAUUAAAUGUGCUUUCUCAAAGGCAGCCACUUCAUGCUGCUAUGUCGAAAGGGCCAUUAUUAUUAUUUUUUUUAAUAGUAAAAGAAAAAGGGAGAGAGGUUGAGAGAGAGAGAGAGAGAGAGAGAGAGAGAAACUAGGUAGGAUGAUGACGGACUAGCUUUUCUGAGAGCGAAAGGAAGAGAGGGAAGGGAGAGAAAAAGGAGAGACCUUAAGCUGAACGGAGGAUUGUGCCUGAGAAGAACCUUAGAGGUGCUACAGGAGGCAGCAGCCCGGCUCCACUUCCAAUGGUUGUGUUGAUGUUCCUUUCAGCCAAUCCUAUAGUCCCCCCAUCUCAGGAAUGUCUCCCCAGUGACAGGACACAGACUGCAGAGACCGCUGUACUGGUGGACGCUCAAGCCAACUGUGAAGUUGAAACAAAGGAAUCAGGACUCGGUCACCUGAAGACACCUCUUCUGCUAAGCGACACACCCACAUGAUGCAGUUCAGCCAGUAGACUCUCAGAACAAGAGGCAAUCUUUGCAAGAAACAGGAACACUUGAGAAUGACUUCUAGAUUUCUGACUUCCCUUCCUCGUGUGUAUUCCUCUGUUUGUAUUUCAAUUCUGUGUGACAUUCAUCUUUAAAAAAGUGUUUUCUGAUAUGAAUAUGCUUAUCAACACACCCAAUUUUUAAAAUAGAAAAUUUCACACACAUGCUAAUGUUUUAAGGAACAAAAUUCAUGCUAUGAAUUUUAGCCACAUACAAGGUUUGACCUUAAGAGUGACUUAAACAAUAGGAUAUAAAGUUAUUUUGAAACAGCGGAGUCGUCGGAGGUAACUCAAAGGAUAGAAUAACGGUGGUAACUCAGAAUGCAGCGUGGAAAGGCACUACCCUGUGACACCACCAAUCUACCAUGCUUUCUGUCAGGCAAGCUAGGUUCUGCCUCUGCAGAGUUUAAGUUUAGUUAGGCAGAGGUAUGUACGCUUUUGACAAGAUAAGUAACAAAUCAAGUCAAUAGACAAUAACAGUAAAACCAAAGCAAGACAAAAGAUGUAUGAACAAGGAGCUCAGAGGUGGUCACGUUAAACUGGGCAAACUGGUCCGUUUAGGGAAGAAAGUUCGCAAAGGAGGAGGAAAUGAAUCUUAAAA
rnacentral:lncRNA from 1 species